rnacentral:rRNA from 1 species
AUUGAACGCUGGCGGCAGGCCUAACACAUGCAAGUCGAGCGGAAACGAGUUAUCUGAACCUUCGGGGAACGAUAACGGCGUCGAGCGGCGGACGGGUGAGUAAUGCCUAGGAAAUUGCCCUGAUGUGGGGGAUAACCAUUGGAAACGAUGGCUAAUACCGCAUGAUGCCUACGGGCCAAAGAGGGGGACCUUCGGGCCUCUCGCGUCAGGAUAUGCCUAGGUGGGAUUAGCUAGUUGGUGAGGUAAGGGCUCACCAAGGCGACGAUCCCUAGCUGGUCUGAGAGGAUGAUCAGCCACACUGGAACUGAGACACGGUCCAGACUCCUACGGGAGGCAGCAGUGGGGAAUAUUGCACAAUGGGCGCAAGCCUGAUGCAGCCAUGCCGCGUGUGUGAAGAAGGCCUUCGGGUUGUAAAGCACUUUCAGUCGUGAGGAAGGUAGUGUAGUUAAUAGCUGCAUUAUUUGACGUUAGCGACAGAAGAAGCACCGGCUAACUCCGUGCCAGCAGCCGCGGUAAUACGGAGGGUGCGAGCGUUAAUCGGAAUUACUGGGCGUAAAGCGCAUGCAGGUGGUUUGUUAAGUCAGAUGUGAAAGCCCGGGGCUCAACCUCGGAAUUGCAUUUGAAACUGGCAGACUAGAGUACUGUAGAGGGGGGUAGAAUUUCAGUGUAGCGGUGAAUGCGUAGAGAUCUGAAAGAAUACCGGUGGCGAGCGCCCCUGGACAGAUACUGACACUCAGAUGCGAAAGCGUGGGGAGCAAACAGGAUUAGAUACCCUGGUAGUCCACGCCGUAAACGAUGUCUACUUGGAGGUUGUGGCGUGAGCCGUGGCUUUCGGAGCUAACGCGUUAAGUAGACCGCCUGGGGAGUACGGUCGCAAGAUUAAAACUCAAAUGAAUUGACGGGGGCCCGCACAAGCGGUGGAGCAUGUGGUUUAAUUCGAUGCAACGCGAAGAACCUUACCUACUCUUGACAUCCAGAGAACUUUCCAGAGAUGGAUUGGUGCCUUCGGGAACUCUGUGACAGGUGCUGCAUGGCUGUCGUCAGCUCGUGUUGUGAAAUGUUGGGUUAAGUCCCGCAACGAGCGCAACCCUUAUCCUUGUUUGCCAGCGAGUAAUGUCGGGAACUCCAGGGAGACUGCCGGUGAUAAACCGGAGGAAGGUGGGGACGACGUCAAGUCAUCAUGGCCCUUACGAGUAGGGCUACACACGUGCUACAAUGGCGCAUACAGAGGGCGGCCAACUUGCGAAAGUGAGCGAAUCCCAAAAAGUGCGUCGUAGUCCGGAUUGGAGUCUGCAACUCGACUCCAUGAAGUCGGAAUCGCUAGUAAUCGUGGAUCAGAAUGCCACGGUGAAUACGUUCCCGGGCCUUGUACACACCGCCCGUCACACCAUGGGAGUGGGCUGCAAAAGAAGUAGGUAGUUUAACCUUCGGGGGGACGCUUACCACUUUGUGGUUCAUGACUGGGGUGA